rnacentral:rRNA from 1 species
UACAGAGGUCUCAAGCGUUGUUCGGAAUCACUGGGCGUAAAGGGUGCGUAGGCUGCACGGUAAGUCAGAUGUGAAAGCCCGGAGCUCAACUCCGGAAUGGCAUCCGAUACUGCCGUGCUCGAGGACUGAAGAGGAGUCUGGAAUUCACAGUGGAGCAGUGAAAUGCGUAGAUAUUGUGAGGAACACUAGUGGCGAAGGCGAGACUCUGGACAGUUCCUGACGCUGAGGCACGAAGGCCAGGGGAGCAAAC